UACAGAGGGUGCGAGCGUUAAUCGGAAUCACUGGGCGUAAAGGGCGCGUAGGCGGUUCGAUAAGUCCCGUGUGAAAUCCCUCGGCUCAACUGAGGAACUGCACGGGAAACUGACGGGCUUGAGUUCGGGAGAGGGAAGCGGAAUUCCGGGUGUAGCGGUGAAAUGCGUAGAUAUCCGGAGGAACACCGGUGGCGAAGGCGGCUUCCUGGACCGACACUGACGCUGGAGGCGCGAAAGCUAGGGGAGCAAACGGG
rnacentral:rRNA from 1 species